AUGGCAAAGUCAUUCGUGAUCAAAUUUAAUAUGGCAGCUGGAAAAGACAAAGGAUCGUUUUAGUCUAACCAAGCAAUACAACUUAAUAAAAGUUUGUGCAUCGACUGCUCACUAAUCAUAAACAGAGUUGAAUGUUGAUGCAAUAAUUACUGAUUUGUUAAAGCUGGCAACUUCUUCUUGUGUUAUAGUACCUUAAAUCUAACAGAUAUCAUCGUUACGAUAUUAAUUUGUUUGUAAAUUGUUUUAGAAAAUAAAUUUAAUAAUAACUUUUAAAAAA